UAAGAAAUAGUCUGCAUUGGCGGUGGACUGACUCCGGGCAAUACUCGCCGAGCUAGUGCUACCUUGCUCUCUUCAAGGGAUCAAUCCCAGACCCUUUGUGAAGCUAAGGACGUGGUGCUUCUGGUCUCGAGCACAUAAUAUCCGGGCCACAUACGCGAGCGUAAGUAAUGAAGCAAAUCAAGAAAUACGUCUGGGCGUAUGGGCCUGGAAGUAGACGGAGGAGACGGCAAACUAGUCGAGCCGUGGCCCAGGACGUCGGGCCUCUUCCUGAUCCGUGGAUCAGGAUAAUUGUUGUCGUCUCCUACCUCACGCUGCUGCGUUUUUUUAGUAGAGAGAGGGCCGAGCUUUGGGAGAGGCGAUUCGACAACUUAGCGAAGAUCUGCCGGUGGAAAUGGAGUUCCUGAUGCAGCCAAUUAAAAGAUUAACGGCGUUGGAGGAGGUUAAUGGUAGUGACGUCCCGAUGGACCACCUCCAUUAGAUUAGUGCGGGAAUGGAUCAGCCCCUCGCGGAGAGCUUCGAUGGGCGGCUUCGUGUGGCGGAUCGACCGGUGGCAUCUGAGAAGGGGGGGAUUCGCCAGAAACUUCCGCAUAGUCCAUAGGCAAGAAGGAUCCUAGAGCUCCAGGAUGGACCCGCUGGAAUGUGUCAUGUCACUGAAGAGCUGUUGUGUACCAACAAUGCUGUUAGCACAGUGUGAUCUCUAAGGGAGGAACAUUAGCUAGCAGGACCAAAACUCUGGAAGCAAGAAAGAUAAUGAGGGAAAUCAGACUCCUCUGGUGACUGGAACGAGAACGCUGGGUCAGCAAGUGGUGGAAUGCCGCAAGCUAAGCCGUGGAUCAGAAGAGGAAAAUCUAUUUGGUCCGUGGCUCGUGAAAUCUGCUUUUCCGUCGAAUGGCUGGAGGCACGAAUUGGAUGCAGAGCUAUGGCUCUUCUCCCCCAAGGCCCCAACGCGGGCGGCAUUUGGAAGCGGAGGAGUGAGAAAGAGGGAUAGGAAGCAGAGGCGCCGACAGCCAUGAAGUUCCUAAUGCAACUAAUCAAUCAGGAGGUAUGUCGAUUCGUAAGUAUAUUGUGAUCUUUUUCUGUUUUGCACGCGCGGAAGGGGGAACUCGCCGCAGGUGUCAUGGCUGUGUAUAGGUAAGGUCAACCCUCAAGCUCCAUGGUGGGCUAAGAGGUUAGUUCACAACAUACUAACAUAGAGAUGUAAAAAUUCGUAGGUGGUAAUUGGGAUAGAGUACAUUUGUAGAAAUUUGGUCCCUGUUCAUAUAAUUUGGAUAGAGUAUGGUAGUCGCAAGGAAGUAAUUUGGAUAGAGUAUGUUGUAAAUUUUGAUUAGCAGCUUAAUAGGGCAGUUUUGGAACUUUGCAUUUAAGAAAUGUUGCAUCCUUGGGAGAAGAAUUGGUACUUCCUCUGUAAAUUAAUAUAAGAUCUAAAAGAUUUUAUAUUUACAGUUGGAGUACAAAUGUACCACAAAUGCAGUUCUGCAGAUUUGGCAGAUGCUUUAAGUUUAAAAGAACAGAACUAGGUACUAGUCAAACAUUUUUUUUUUGGUUUAGCAGCUAAAUAGGCUGGUGAGUAGAAGUGUGGUCUCACAAGAUACUGGUUCCUUGAGGGGAAUAUUUGCAGAGGCAUUUUAAAAAAUUGGAUGCUUAGGACUACAUUUUUUGUAAACAUGAUUUGCAUAACCUGCAGUUUUUUUUUGUCUGUUUGAAGCGAACUCGUCGUUCAGUCUAUCACCUUAUCAUUUUUUGUUAUGAAAUGAAUCAUUAGUAGCAUGCCUUUUCUCUUCUUCCCAUAUUGUUUUCUGUCACAUUAAGCAUGAUUUUUUAUGUUUAUUUGAAGCAGAGGGCCUGAUGCAAAACUGUAUCAUAUUUUUACUGAUUUUUGCUGCGACGAGCCCCUUUAUUUGCUUUGCUUACAAAGCUAAUAUUUAAAUCUUUUGAUAUUUUUAGCAUAUGUUUUGGUUGAAUUGAACGGCCCAGAAGUUACAUCAUCACAUGUUGUUCUAGCCUAUUUGAAGCUUUAGAUUUAUUUCAUAUAUGGAUCUUGGACUACAAACCGAAUCUGGAUUUGGUGACUUCAUAACCAUUGCAGCCCUGUUUCUGGUUUAUCUCUUUACGUUGGGUAUGGAUGUGUUCAUGCGUUUGUGGAUGAAGCGAAGCUUCUGUAGGCUAGUAGGCGAUGGUCUUUAUAGGGCCACCCAUUGUUUUUCUGCAAUUUGUUGUGUUCUUGCUCUUCCACCUAUUUACUGAUUUGUUUACUGAUGUUACAGAAAUCUAAACCUGAAAUUAUAUUCAUUCAUGGAGUCAGGAAACAAGAACUGGAUCCAUGUGUGAAAUGACAUGUUCAAUAAACCUUCGGAGCUUGGCACUAAUAUGUUCGGCGGCCGCCAUCAAACUCUUUUGCAAUCUCAGAGCCCGCCUCUAACAUGCAGAUGGUCCAUCAGCGUAAUUUGAUGAACUUGAAUAUGCUAGGCACUACUAGAAGUUUGGAAACCCUAAACUCAAAUUCUAGAAUUCUUGUACCUUUCCUGUGGUGCAGCCAAAGGCUGUUUAUCUCAAUUCCUGAGAUUUUGUUUCCCAAUACAACAGGAGAUGUCUUGACAUCACAAUCCUGUGUUUUUACUUAUUUUCAUCUGUUUCAAAAUGAUGUGAUCCAAAGAGGCCUAUGCAACGUCUGCAUAUACCCACUUUGACAAAAAAAAUAUUGCACGAAAAGCAAAUAACCUUUGGUCGAUGAAUAUUACUCGUAUAA